GAGGGUAUAGCCCAAGUGGUAGAGCACAUGCUUAGCACACACGAGGUCCUGGGUUCAAUCCCCAGUGCCUCCU
rnacentral:tRNA from 1 species